UACGUAGGGUGCGAGCGUUAUCCGGAUUCACUGGGUUUAAAGGGUGCGUAGGCGGGCAUAUAAGUCAGUGGUGAAAUCCCCGAGCUUAACUUGGGAACUGCCGUUGAUACUAUGUGUCUUGAAUAUCGCGGAGGUAAGCGGAAUAUGUCAUGUAGCGGUGAAAUGCAUAGAUAUGACAUAGAACACCGAUUGCGAAGGCAGCUUACUACACGAUCAUUGACGCUGAGGCACGAAAGCGUGGGGAGCAAACAGGAUUAGAAACCCCUGUAGU
rnacentral:rRNA from 1 species